AUUUGCGCAACCUGACCACAGAAACGUCACACUUCAAGCCCAGAGGCCAAAAAGCCCGGGUCAGCCAGUCAAGAAGUGGAUUUUCUUCUAAACCUGAAGCCCCAGAAUGAAACCACCCAGUUCCCGCCUCUUUUCCACCAGCUGUGUCAGAGACUCUACCAGUGGAACCUCAUCUUCAGCCUUCAUUUCCAGUGUUGGUUUUGUUUAAUAUGGCAAGGCAGGAAAAUGUUCGUGUAGGGAUCUGCCCUAGGUUAAGUUGUGCUGAAGGACGGAGGAGAGAAUUCAAGAAGCGGCGCAAACCACCACCAACAGCUCUGCAACCGAGGUGGGGCCUUCGCCAAUUAGGAUUGGAACGGUGGGGUUCAAAUAAAAAAACUGAUGUGAAAGCCCGACCUGGUCCAUCGGAACCACAUAAACGCAUUUGUUCUUUCCCUGUGGUAGAUGUUGCCCUUUGUGGGAGGGCGGAGGAGGGAGAAGCAGCUUCCAUAUUGAGCCGGUACAUUUUGUGACUGCCCCGGAGCGUCAUCACCUCCACUCCUGCCAUCCCAGUCCAAGACCUCUCCUCCUGAAUGGCCUCCCUGCUUGCACUCUUCGCUCCUAGAGUUUAUUCUCCACACAACAGCCAGAGUGAUGUUUUUAAACACAGAAAUUGUAUCUUGUCACUUUCCUGUUGAAAACUCUUCAAACGCCCCCAUCACACUUGAGAGUGGAAUUCAAACACUUUACCACGGGUCACGGGGCCCAGCAGGACCCGGCCCUGCUGACUUCCUCCCGCGGCCCACGCGGCUG
rnacentral:lncRNA from 1 species